rnacentral:lncRNA from 1 species
UGGAAAGGGGUCUCACAGGUAAUGUCUCCCACCAGGGCAGUAUAAGGAAUGCGUUCCAGCCAACUCUUCAGUUGUACAAUUUCACAUGUACAGUUCCAAGGGUUUUCUUCCAGCUGGAGCUCCAUCAGGCUUCUGCCAAUGUGACAUUGAAAGCUCCAGUCUGAAUGUCCUGCAAUGCAUUGUUCCCAAGAUUAAUAGACACAGCAUUAUUCAAAUGAAGAAAACUGUUGGUAUAUAAUUUCCUCAUAGAAUUCCUCUGCAGAUACAGUUUAAAAGGUCUUGACCAGAACUCGGUAAUCUGACUAAUAUUUGUAAAUCCUUUACUGUCACAAUGUAUAUGAAAGAGGCUU